rnacentral:rRNA from 1 species
UACGGAGGGUGCAAGCGUUAUCCGGAUUCACUGGGUUUAAAGGGUGCGUAGGAGGGUAGGUAAGUCAGUGGUGAAAUCUUCGAGCUUAACUCGGAAACUGCCGUUGGUACUAUCUAUCUUGAAUACCGUGGAGGUGAGCGGAAUAUGUCAUGUAGCGGUGAAAUGCUUAGAUAUGACAUAGAACACCAAUUGCGAAGGCAGCUCGCUACACGAAUAUUGACUCUGAGGCACGAAAGCGUGGGGAUCAAACAGG